UAGUCUCAUGAUGUUUCUAAAUGAGUCAGGAUGGCCACAAUGACACACGGGGGCGGUUGCAGUGGUAAUGCUAGCGAGCAAGAGCAGCUGCAGGAGGCUACCACAGCAGCAGCUAGCCAGAGUCACUGACAGGAGCAAGAGGAUAGGCCAGUGCGCUACACUGAACUCAGCCAGAGGGGAAACGCACAGUACUGGCCCGAGGACACAAUAUAUGGAGAGACUGAAAUUGAAUUGCUGUGUCAGUGCUUUGACAUUGACAGCCUGUGUGUAGGGAGCGCAGAUUGGACCAAAAUGUCUAGGACUUUACAACAUACUCUAGAUUCAGACACUACAGCAGCACCCCUGAACAGAGCAGUUGAACAGCGACUCUCAGUGGCAGACUGG